rnacentral:rRNA from 1 species
UACGUAGGGGGCAAGCGUUGUCCGGAGUUACUGGGCGUAAAGCGCACGCAGGCGGUCGCGUAAGAGUGCGGGGACAGUGGGCGGCUUAACUGCCCAAGGGUCGCACAGACUGUCGUGACUGGAGGGCCAGAGAGGGACCUGGAAUUCCGGGUGGAGCGGUGAAAUGCGUAGAGAUCCGGAGGAACACCAAUGGCGAAGGCAGGGUCCUGGCUGGCACCUGACGCUCAUGUGCGAAAGCCAGGGGAGCGAACGGG